rnacentral:lncRNA from 1 species
UCACACAACCCAUGUAAUACAUAAGGGACAGAGAUACAUAGUUGGCUUACAAUCGCCACUUCACAACAAUUACAUGAAUAAAGCAUUACAUCAUCCAGAUACAAUCAAGGUCCGACUACAGAACCAAAAUAAAAGAAGACUACCACAAUUGCUACACAGGUCCCCGAUCGUCCCAACUGGGCUCCACUACUGAUCAACUAGAAUGAAACAACACACAGGACAAGAUCUUCAUCGAGCUCCUCCUGAGCUUGGUUGCGUCACCUGCUCGGUAACAUCGGCACCUGCAAACUGGUUUUGGAAGUAUCUGUGAGUCACGGGGACUCAGCAAUCUCACACCCUCGCGAUCAAGACUAUUUAAGCUUAUGGGUAAGGUAAAAGGUAUGAGGUGGAGCUGCAGCAAGCGACUAGCAUAUAUGGUGGCUAACUUAUUCGCAAAAGAGAGCGAGAAGAGAAGGCAAAAGCACGGUCGAACAACUAUGAUCAAGAAGUGAUCCUAGAACAACCUACGUCAAGCAUAACUCCAACACCGUGUUCACUUUCCGGACUCCGCCGAAAAGAGACCAUCACGGUUACACACGCGGUUGAUGCAUUUUAAUUAAGGUCAACUUCAGGUUUUCUACAACCAGAUAUUAACAAAUUCCCAUCUGCCCAUAACCGCGGGCACGACUUUCGGAAGUUCAAAUCCCUGCAGGGGCGUCCCAACUUAGCCCAUGACAAGCUCUCACGGUCAACGAAGGAAUAGACCUCCUCCCGAGACAUUCUGAUCAGACUCGGUAUCCCGGUUCUACAAGACAUUUCGACAGGGUAAAACUAAACCAGCAACACCGCCCGAAUGUGCCGACAAAUCCCGAUAGGAGCUGCACAUAUCUCGUUCUCAAGGCACACUCAGAUGAGCUCUCCAUACAACUAAAACCAAACCUCGAGUUUCCCCGAGGGGGCGCUGCACAGGACUCUAGUUUGGACCAACACUCGGAGGAGCACUGGCCCGGGGGGGUAAAAUAAUGAUGACCCUUGGGCUGGCCGACCCAAGGGAAAGAAAAGGCUAGGUGGCGAAUAGUAAAACCAAUGUUGGGCAUUGCUGGAGAAGUUUUAAUUCAAGGCGAACUGUCAAGGGGUUCCCAUUAUUACCCAACCGCGUAAGGAACGCAAAAUUCGGGAACAUAACACCGAUACGACAGAAAUUAGGGCGGCAAGAGUGGAACAAAACACCAGGCAUAAGGCCGAGCCUUCCACCCUUUACCAAGUAUAUAGAUGCGUUAAUUAAAUAAGAUAUAUUGUGAUAUCCCAACAAGUAAACAUGUUCCAACAAGGAACAACAUCUCCAUGUUCCAACAAGGAACAAACUUCAAUCUUCACCUGCAACUAACAACGAUAUAAGAGGGGCUGAGCAAAGCGGUAACAUAGCCAAUCAACGGUUUGCUAGGACAAGGUGGGUUAGGGGCUUGGUUCAACAACAUGGGAGGCAUGACAAGCAAGUGGUAGGUAUCGCAGCAUAGGCAUAGCAAAAGAGCAAGCAACUAAGCAAGCAAAGAUAGAAGUGAUUUCGAGGGUAUGGUCAUCUUGCCUGAAAUCCCGCAAGGAAGAAGAACGAGUCCAUAAAGAAGACAAACGGAACGUAGACGAACGGGUCCUCACAAACACGACGUUACCGGAACCAACCCGAAGAAGCAAACACCGGAAAGAAGCAC